CUUCUACUCCCUCCGUUCGGAAUUACUUGUCUCAAAAAUGGAUGUAUUUAGAACUAAAAUACGUCUAGAUGCAUCCAUUUCCGAGACAAGUAAUUCCGAACGGAGGGAGUACUAA
rnacentral:pre_miRNA from 1 species